AACGAACGCUGGCGGCAUGCCUUACACAUGCAAGUCGAACGGUAACGCGGGGCAACCUGGCGACGAGUGGCGAACGGGUGAGUAAUGCAUCGGAACGUGCCCAGUAGUGGGGGAUAGCCCGGCGAAAGCCGGAUUAGUACCGCAUACGACCUACGGGUGAAAGCGGGGGAUCGCAAGACCUCGCGCUAUUGGAGCAGCCGAUGUCAGAUUAGGUAGUUGGUGGGGUAAAGGCCUACCAAGCCUUCGAUCUGUAGCUGGUCUGAGAGGACGACCAGCCACACUGGGACUGAGACACGGCCCAGACUCCUACGGGAGGCAGCGGUGGGGAAUUUUGGACAAUGGGCGCAAGCCUGAUCCAGCCAUGCCGCGUGCGGGAAGAAGGCCUUCGGGUUGUAAACCGCUUUUGUCAGGGAAGAAAAGCCUCGAACUAAUACUUUGGGGUAAUGACGGUACCUGAAGAAUAAGCACCGGCUAACUACGUGCCAGCCGCCGCAGUAAUAC
rnacentral:rRNA from 1 species